UUGGGAAUUUUGGACAAUGGGGAAACCCUGAUCCAGCGAUGCCGCGUGAGUGAUGAAGGCCUUCGGGUCGUAAAGCUCUUUCAGCGGGGAAGAAGGGAAACUUGACGGUACCCGCAGAAGAAGCACCGGCUAACUCCGUGCCAGCAGCCGCGGUAAUACGGAGGGUGCAAGCGUUGUUCGGAAUCAUUGGGCGUAAAGCGCGUGUAGGCGGUCUUUUAAGUCUGGUGUGAAAGCCCGGGGCUCAACCCCGGAAGUGCACUGGAUACUGAUUGACUAGAGGACGGGAGAGGGAAGUGGAAUUCCAGGUGUAGGGGUGAAAUCCGUAGAUAUCUGGAGGAACAUCGGAAGCGAAGGCGGCUUCCUGGCCCGUAACUGACGCUGAGACGCGAAAGCGUGGGGAGCAAACAGGAUUAGAUACCCCGGUAGUCCCUGAGCGGGCUGGCAAGGCGCAU
rnacentral:rRNA from 1 species